rnacentral:lncRNA from 1 species
UAUUUGGUAAUUACUUUUCUUGUGAAUAUAUUUAAAUUCUUAUAUUAUUCCAAAUCAUUUUUGUUUUUUUCCUAUAGUGGUGUUCGUCCAUUUGGUGUUUCUUUACUCAUUUGUGGGUGGAAUGAGGGACGACCAUAUUUAUUUCAGUCAGAUCCAUCUGUAAGUAUCAUUACAUAUAUUUGAAAUAUUUAUUAGAAUUGUUUUUUAUACAUGUAAUAAAAGUAGAAACCAUAAAACUUUAAUAUUUAGCAGUAUUUUCCUUCUUUUUCUCUUGUUUUUAAAGGUUUGGUUUUACCUUGAAUUAAUGUGUAUUCUUGUGUGUCUGCGGGUGUAUGCAUGCGACUGACUGCAGGUACUUGAGGAGUCAGAUCCCACUAAGGCUGGAGUUAAGGUCCGGGGCCGGCACUCAAGUCCGCUCUGAGAGCAGGAUGGGCUCCUCUCUCUCCCUCAGCCAUUUCUCAAGCUGCUUUUUUUUUCUUUCUUUUUCUUUUUCUUUCUUUUUUCUUUUUAAAGACAGUAUAAGGUAGUACAUAUUUGUUUGCUCAUUCAUCAUUUUUAUAGUGCUGUCUUUGAUAAGCUAUAUGAUACACUAGAUUUCACCAUUUUUUGGUCAUGUUCUUUAGCAUGUACUAGAAUGCACAUGUACUAGUUUUUGUAGUUAUCAAAUUUCAUUAGGCCUCUUGAACUCUGUUACUUUGUGACUCUGUUCCCUUGGCAAACACUUGAGUCGGAUGUAUAACAGGAGGCCAGUGUUAUAAUGUUUGUCAUCAAUUUGAUGACAGCUGGGAUUUACAAGGCGUCUUGAUCGCUCUGUCUUUUCUUUUUUAAAAAAAUACUAUUUAUGUCUUUAUUUUAUUUAUAUGAGUACACUGUAGCUGUCUCAGACACACCAAAAGAGUGCAUGGGAUCCCAUUACAGAUGGUUGUGAGCCACCAUGUGGAUGCUGGGAAUUGAACUCAGGACCUCUGGAAGAGCAGUCAAGUGCUCUUAACCACAGAGCCAUCUCUCCAGCCCUGAGCUGUUUUUUCCAAAGCAGAAAGUGAUAUCUGGAUCUGGGUUUAUUCUACCCAGGUUUAUUGUUGCAUUUGCUGUGAGGAGAAGCCCAAGAAAAAGUUCAAGGUUAAGCAGUGAAGUUUUGUUUAUUAGAUAAGUACAAGUCCUCCUGAUGCAAGCCUUAUAAAUAUCUUACAAAUUAAAAUGGCAAAACAAAAGUAACCGAAUUUUGAGUCCAUCUGUGAGCUUCUGAAGCUAAAUGUCUGGUCUGUGGUCUGGCCUUCCUGGCCAGCUGAGGGCAGUCCCUUGGGACUGUGUUCACACUUUGCUGUCCUUUUCUGUACUGUAUACUAUACUCUAACAAGAUAUACCCCCGAUAAGCUUUCCUCUCAUUUUUACAUUCAUGUUUGCUUUUCCCAGAUGUGGCUGUUACACAUAGGGCUUCUCAAACAUUCUACUUGCCCCCCUUUUCACCUGGGAAAGUAAUUGUAACCAUGGUAAAUAUAAAAUACGCAAGUAAAUACACAAGU